AUGGAUUAUUGACCAUUCUCCUCACUCCUCGCCUAUCUCUCCUCCAUUUGUUCCUUUUCCCUCUAACCGGACAAAGAAAGACCCUCUUCUCUCUCCUCUCGCUCGACUGGAGAUCGAGCUAGGAGAGACACGAACGAAAACCAAAAAUAAAUAAAUCAAAGAGAAUGUCCUGCGAAAAGAUUGACGGCCUGGCGAGGUGGUUCGGCACGAGUGUCGCAUCGGCAUUCUUCGCCUCGUUGGAACGAUGUGCUUGUGUCAAUCUCACAACCUAUGCCUCUGAUGAUGAGGAAGAGGAAGAAGCUAAAGAUCGCCCUCUUUUUAUGAACAAUUUGCCUUCUCAUGUUGAUCCUUGCCCUAGGACCAACAAUUCUCAUUCCGUUGACAACCUCCCUGUUUAAAUCUUCUGCCCGAUCUCUACUGGACAGCUUAUGAUGCAACCUUUCUUUCCGUUUUUUUCCCCAGAACUGGCAUCACCAACUUCGUCAUAUUAAUCCCCUGGCUCCAAACAGAGGAAAUGGAAAUGUAAUUCUGGUAUCAACUGUAAUAUUUUUUUUUUCCCUUAUAGACUGAUUCUCCCUGUUGUAUGAGGUGUUUGUCCGUUGGCAUUUUUGUUACAAGGUCAAACAUUUAAGCACGAAAGACGCCUUUUAUUGUUCCUUUACCUUGACAUUCUUUACCAAGUGUCUUGCUUGCUCUAGGAAAAUAGCAAAUGCCAGUGAGAGGCUGUUGUACUUUA